UACGGAGGGUGCAAGCGUUGCUCGGAAUCAUUGGGCGUAAAGCGCGUGUAGGCGGCUUUGCAAGUCUGGUGUGAAAUCCCGGGGCUCAACCCCGGAAGUGCAUUGGAUACUGCUUAGCUAGAGGACGAGAGAGGAUGGUGGAAUUCCUGGUGUAGGGGUGAAAUCCGUAGAUAUCAGGAGGAACAUCAGUGGCGAAGGCGGACCAUCUGGCUCGUAUCUGACGCUGAGACGCGAAAGCGUGGGGAGCAAACAGG
rnacentral:rRNA from 1 species